rnacentral:lncRNA from 1 species
ACCUGGCCAAAGUACAUCCUUGAAUGCAAAAUGCAAGACAUUCAUUUUUUAUUAUUAUUACUUGGAUCAGUGUCAGAGCAUGAGUGUGUGUGUUUUCUUUUUCAUUUUUUUUAAUAGCAUUCAUUGUGUCAUGUAUGUUUGGGGAUGUUAAGUAAGACCUAUUGUAUGUGCUAAUAGUAUAUCCUCCUUUACACCGUAUAUAUCUUGGUGUCAGGUAGUGCUCCUAGUAUUUAUGAUAUAUGAGGCUACACAAUGACAUGCAGACAACUAACACCAUUUUUUUCUUUUAUUUCAAAACUUAA